AGCUCCAAUAGCGUAUAUUAAAGUUGUUGCAGUUAAAAAGCUCGUAGUUGGAUUUGGGACUGGAGUCGUUCGGUCGGCCGCAAGGUCUGUUACUGAACGGCUCUGUCAUCACAUUCCCAGAGACCUGCCGUGUACUUAACUGUGUGCGGUACGGGAUUUGGGACGUUUACUUUGAAAAAAUUAGAGUGUUCAAAGCGGGCGUUUGCCAUGAAUAAAUUAGCAUGGAAUAAUAGAAUAGGACCUGUGUUCUGUUUUGUUGGUUUGUGAGGCGCGGGUAAUGAUUAAGAGGGACGGUUGGGGGCAUUUGUAUUCCGGCGUCAGAGGUGAAAUUCUUGGAUUGCCGGAAGACAAACAGCUGCGAAAGCGUCUGCCAAGGACGUUUUCAUUGAUCAAGAACGAA
rnacentral:rRNA from 1 species